UCUAAUGGUGGUAAAUGGUAUGGGAAGAAAGAGACAGAAUAUUCAAGUAGGUAACACGACUCCGCCUUCGCUCCCCCACGGCCCCGCCCUGGUCUCUAGCUCUUUCAAUCUCUGCCUUUACAUAACUACACAAGCAACAAACAGGUAAUUCAAAAUCUUCCAUCUACUACCCAAAUUAAUGAGAAGCUUUCACAUGUAUGAUUUAUUUUAGUUGUUAUGGCGACUUAUGGGGUUAUGGUCCUAUGCAUUUAGCUUUUUAGAUGUGUAGUUGAACCUAUUUUGUGGACUUUGUACUGAUAGAAAGAGUAAAAAGGGGGCUGCUGAUGAUAUAUUUUAUUUGGUAUCUAGAGGAGAUGAUGGGUUGAAGGUUGAGAGGGGAUCAACAUUGAAAGAAUUGGGUGUGGAGGAGAGUUUAGGAACUGUGGUUUUGGUGGUUAGGCCACCAAGAGAAGAGUAUGAAAAUCAGUUGAUUGAAGAAGAUUGGGAAUGAAAAUGUUAGUAAAGCUGUAAUCUUUGAUCUGAAUAUCGAAAUUGGGUAGCACCAGACUGUUAAGAUUUUAGAUUCUGAAGAUGUAUAAGGAUGCUUUUUGUUGUUGAGGCUUGCCAAAAGAAUUGGUCCUUUUGAAGGAAAGAGUUGCUUGAGUCCCCUUUUUAAUCUUCAAUAUAUAUAGUGUUCCCUUAUAAUUUGCAUCCUGAGGUCAUACAAGUUGAUAUCAUAUAGAUGUGAUUAAUUUGAAUCAAAACCAAGGUAGACUAGGUAUGUUUUGUUCUAUUGUUUUCAAAUAUUUUAUCUAGGAAAGUAAUUCAGUAAUAGCAAAUAGAUACCUGCAUUAUUUGUUUAUCAAUAUGUUAAUGAAAUCUUCUUUUUGAACGACGCUACUUGUAUUUCCUUGUGAUUUGUUGCGGAUGUUAGAUGCCAAUUCCUUGUCAAAAUGCGUAUAUAUAAUCCUAAGAUUUGAGCAUCUGACUGUCUAAAAUUGAAAUUUAAUUCUGAUUAAGCCAACUUUUUGACAACACUAGCUUAUAUUAUAUUAGGUUUUUUGUUGGAUGUCUCCUUUGUGAUGAUAUUUACUCAAAUAUCAAGUUUGGGGCUACCGUUAAAAUUGACAAUCUGCAGCCCCACCACCUUACAUUUGUUCAAAAUAAAAUGAAGAAAGCUUGUGGCAAUUGUGGUACUGGAGAUAUUCGCAUUGGGAUAGCAAUUCUUGAAUGUGCUCCUUGUAAGUUUGUAAUCUGGUCAUUAUGUCAUCAAAAAGUAUAAUUGUUUGAUAGUCAAAAUCUUCUAUUCAUCCUCUUUUUUAUCUUUUAUUCCACGUUAUAUGUUGUUUCUAAAUUUAACGUAAAAUUUACUUUUUAAAUAGAUAAACCUGGUUAGUUGAUGGUUUCCUUCUUUCAAUUGUUGAAGAUCCAGUAAGAAAGCCUAAGUCAAUUAAAAAAAUUGAUGUAUUUAAGCUUGGAAGUAGUAUAAAUUAACAAUCAGUUGGAGAGUAAUGAAUUCUACAAGCUUGUAAGCUGUGAAUAAAGUGAAAAUUGUCUGGUUAUAUUGUUAUAGUUGCAAGCUUCUUUUCUGAGGUUAUGCUUCAAACUCAAAAUUGAGAUUAUUCAUUAAACAUUAAUGAGUAUAUAUAGUUUAUCAUAUUCAUUGUUGUAUUAACUAAAAUUAAAAGUCUGUUUGAGCUAGACUUCAAAAAUUCAAAAACAAUCUUAUAUUUUGGAACAAAGAGUUUAAAAAAAUAUCAUGCAAAAAAAAAAUGUAAAGUAUGUUAUAUCUUAGUUAUUCUUAAUUUGGGACAGAAGGCAUGUAUAUUAUUGCUUCAUGCUUUGUGAUGGGGUAACCAAACAGUCCAUAAACUUUGUGUAAAUUUUUUUUUUUUUUUACUGCAGAUCAAAACUGUCAGAUCAAUAAUCUUUCAUUAGGGGCCUUAGUAAACUUUACGGGUGAUAUUGAUUAUGUUAAGAUGCAUCGGUUAGUAUAUGAAAAACUUUUUUCCUUCCACUUGUUUGCUUAGUAUCUGUUUAGUUGCAUGGCAUAACAUAAUCCCAGAUUUUUAGUAUGUUGAAUUCAAGGCCAAUAAUGACAUAAAUUUUUGAUAGAUUUUUGAACUUGGUUGAUAACUUUAGCUUAGUUAUAAUGUUAUACAUGAUGUGAUCCAUGCUUGUUGUUUUGAUGUUAUCGGGUAGCACGACAAUGUUCCUAUUUGUUAGUUGGCUAAGAUUAGCAUGCUUGUCUUCUGAGAGGAUAACGUUGUUUUUAAUGAUAGAAUUGUGUAGAAAGUAAUUAAUGACUAUAAAACACAGAAACUCAAGUUUUGGGAACGUAUUGGGUAUACUUGUUAUCUCUUAAAAAAAGGAGAAAAAAAUUGAAUAAACACCGUGGCUAGUCUUGUUUCGGGGCCUUUGCUACUUGAGUAAAUACACCCGAGGGGAUUGUCUCUACACCUAGCGCCCUAAAGCCCGAAUGAUUUGGAAGUCGUUGGUUGAAAGCUCGCUAAGUGGUAGCACUGUUUAGCCUAAUGGAAUGAGACAUUGCACAGCCAUGGAAAAUAUAAAAAAAAAUUAAUAAACACCGCGGGAAAGUGCGAAAAUCUCCCUCGUGAGUAAAAUAAAGCAAAAUAAACCCUUUGUUGAACCUUAGCUUGUACUGAUGUGUUGGAGUAGUUGUUGCUUCAUUUAUGUGCAUAGUUCUUGAUUUGAAACCUCAGUUUUCUUUCUUAAGAAGUAUAGCAUGUGGAAUCUUCACCUUUGUCAAGCUUAUCUGUGAAUACAACACACACACACAACAUUUUUAUUAUCCAAUUGUAUGUCAUUAUGCCUUUAGCUUAGUUUGAUGCUUUGUUCAUAGAUCUUGAUAUUUCUUUGAGGCAUAUCUUAUUGGAAUUCUUGAUAUGACUAAAAGUCUUGAGAUUCAUUUGCAUGAUAGUAUAAUUGCAUAACAUGUAGUUUGCAUUUGUGUUUAUUGCUUGAGGGCAAACAAUAGUUCAAGUUUGGGGGUAUUUGAUAAGUAGGUUUUAGACCUACUUAUUGGUUAUCAACUUGCUAGAAUUAUGCUUAAACUUAAGUAUUUUUAUGUUUGAUUGUUUUUUAUGUUUGUUUUGUAGGUUGCAUUAAGAAAACUAAUACGGCAUGGCAAAGGCAUGGAAAUGGCAUGGAAGUAGCAAAGCAUGGUGAACUUGUGCUGGAACGAGGAAUGAAGCUGAGCAAGUGCAUGUGAGGAGGGCAUCUGAGCGAGUCAAGUGAAGAUUUGAGAAGUCAAGUGAAGGCAAAUGAAGUUGAAGACCAGUAGCAAUGUAGCAGCAAAACACCAAUAAUAGUGCAACAGAUUGCAAGAAUUAGCAGUCGCGCGAUAGCGCCAUAGCGUAGGGCAAUGUUAGCGCGCUCGCGCCAGGAACAUUCCAAAAUUCAACAUGGCGCGCCCACGCCCCAAAUGCUAUACGGGGUCGCACGGUCGCGCCAGUCAAGGCUAUUAAAAAGUUGACUUUUCAUUUUAAGUUUGUUGUAGCGAGAUUACUAGAAAGGGGUGUAUUUUCUAGUUACAAGAGAUCAUUAUUAUCAGUUAUAUUUUCCAUUUUUAGGGUUUCAUAGAGCAAGAGAGAUUCCAUAGCUUUCUACUACUAUUUUGCUUCUCUCUUUAGAUCUAGUAGCUUUUGAAUAUAGAAGUUUAAUUUGGUUUUGAUUAUGGAUCUGAACUGAGUUGGAAGCUUGCAUUGGACAGAGUUUAAAUCAUA
rnacentral:lncRNA from 1 species